UGGUGAACCAGCGGAAGGAUCAUUACCAUAAUCCAUCAAAAGAUUAUAUCAAUCAACUUUGUGAAUUUAUUGAAAUUUGUCUUUUGGAAUUGAUAAUGAAAUAUAUGUGUGUGCGUAAAACACACACACAUGUAUGGAUUUUGAAAUUCCAAAUGUAUUUUCUUCAUUGAAAAUACACAUGAAAAAACUAUUAUUUUUCAAAUAAUAAUACAGAAUUAAAAAACUAAAAUAUACGCUUGUAUAUUUUAUGUUAAAAGUUUGAUAUUAUGACAACUUUUAACGGCGGAUCUCUUGGCUCGUG
rnacentral:misc_RNA from 1 species